GAUGAACGCUGGCGGCGUGCCUAAUACAUGCAAGUCGAGCGAACGGACGAGAAGCUUGCUUCUCUGAUGUUAGCGGCGGACGGGUGAGUAACACGUGGAUAACCUACCUAUAAGACUGGGAUAACUUCGGGAAACCGGAGCUAAUACCGGAUAAUAUUUUGAACCGCAUGGUUCAAAAGUGAAAGACGGUCUUGCUGUCACUUAUAGAUGGAUCCGCGCUGCAUUAGCUAGUUGGUGAGGUAACGGCUUACCAAGGCAACGAUGCAUAGCCGACCUGAGAGGGUGAUAGGCCACACUGGAACUGAGACACGGUCCAUACUCCUGCGGGAGGCAGCAGUAGGGAAUCUUCCGCAAUGGGCGAAAGCCUGACGGAGCAACGCCGCGUGAGUGAUGAAGGUCUUCGGGUCGUAAAACUCUGUUAUUAGGGAAGAACAGAUGUGUAAGUAACUGUGCACAUCUUGACGGUACCUAAUCAGAAAGCCACGGCUAACUACGUG
rnacentral:rRNA from 1 species